rnacentral:rRNA from 1 species
UACGGGGGUGCGAGCGUUGUCCGGAAUCACUGGGCGUAAAGGGCGCGUAGGUGGUUUGAUAAGGGUGUGGUGAAAGUCCGGGGCUCAACCCCGGAUCUGCCGUGCCGACUGUCAAACUCGAGGACUGUAGAGGCAGACGGAAUUCCGGGUGUAGCGGUGGAAUGCGUAGAGAUCCGGAGGAAGACCGGUGGCGAAGGCGGUUGCCUGGAGCUUUGCUGACGCUGAGGCGCGGAAAGCGUGGGGAGCGAGUCCGG